rnacentral:rRNA from 1 species
GACGGAAGGUGCAAGCGUUGCUCGGAAUCACUGGGCGUAAAGGGUGCGUAGGCGGCCGUGCAAGUCUGGCGUGAAAGCCCCGGGCUCAGCCCGGGAAGUGCGCUCGAAACUGCGCGGCUCGAGUGCCGGAGGGGAGAGUGGAAUUCCUGGUGUAGCGGUGAAAUGCGUAGAUAUCAGGAGGAAUACCGGUGGCGAAAGCGACUCUCUGGACGGCAACUGACGCUGAGGCACGAAAGCCAGGGGAGCGAACGGGA